CGCAGACAGGGAUGUUCCCAGGCGCGCUGCGCGGCUGACUCACUUCAAAGUCCCAGCCCUGCUGGCUUGGUUUACACCUGAGCCAAUUAGCUCCGGAGAUCAGAAGAGGCCUGAAAACGGAGCCGGGCCCUUAUUCCCGGGAUGGAGAAAGUCACUUGAUCCCAGGUGACACACAACUCCCAGCUGAUGGAAGGCACCCCCAGGCAGAGGAGGGAGGGCAGGCUGUCACUCAGAAAAGCACCGUUUAGUGAAGACUAGUUCCUUAGGAGACAGACGUUCUUGGCUGGACUCCAUUUUUAUAACGGUAUUUCCCCCACUGGGGAGAAGAUCCUCAACUUUUUACCUCAGAAACGUUGCUUUUCACCGCAAGGAAAGGGUUACUUUUCUUUCAGGAAGAG
rnacentral:lncRNA from 1 species